CCUACGGGUGGCUGCAGUGGGGAAUAUUGGACAAUGGGGGCAACCCUGAUCCAGCCAUGCCGCGUGUGUGAAGAAGGCCCUCGGGUUGUAAAGCACUUUCAGUGAGGAAGAACGCCUGGUGGUUAAUACCCAUCAGGAAAGACAUCACUCACAGAAGAAGCACCGGCUAACUCCGUGCCAGCAGCCGCGGUAAUACGGAGGGUGCGAGCGUUAAUCGGAAUUACUGGGCGUAAAGCGCGCGUAGGUGGCUUGAUAAGCCGGUUGUGAAAGCCCCGGGCUCAACCUGGGAACGGCAUCCGGAACUGGCAAGCUAGAGUGCAGGAGAGGAAGGUAGAAUUCCCGGUGUAGCGGUGAAAUGCGUAGAGAUCGGGAGGAAUACCAGUGGCGAAGGGGGCCUUCUGGACUGACACUGACACUGAGGUGCGAAAGCGUGGGUAGCAAACAGGAUUAGAUACCCCUGUAGUC
rnacentral:rRNA from 1 species